rnacentral:rRNA from 1 species
ACUUGUACCGACUGGAUGAGCAGCGAACGGGUGAGUAACGCGUGGGGAAUCUGCCUUUGAGCGGGGGACAACAUUUGGAAACGAAUGCUAAUACCGCAUAAAAACUUUAAACACAAGUUUUAAGUUUGAAAGAUGCAAUUGCAUCACUCAAAGAUGAUCCCGCGUUGUAUUAGCUAGUUGGUGAGGUAAAGGCUCACCAAGGCGAUGAUACAUAGCCGACCUGAGAGGGUGAUCGGCCACAUUGGGACUGAGACACGGCCCAAACUCCUACGGGAGGCAGCAGUAGGGAAUCUUCGGCAAUGGACGAAAGUCUGACCGAGCAACGCCGCGUGAGUGAAGAAGGUUUUCGGAUCGUAAAACUCUGUUGGUAGAGAAGAACGUUGGUGAGAGUGGAAAGCUCAUCAAGUGACGGUAACUACCCAGAAAGGGACGGCUAACUACGUGCCAGCAGCCGCGGUAAUACGUAGGUCCCGAGCGUUGUCCGGAUUUAUUGGGCGUAAAGCGAGCGCAGGUGGUUUAUUAAGUCUGGUGUAAAAGGCAGUGGCUCAACCAUUGUAUGCAUUGGAAACUGGUAGACUUGAGUGCAGGAGAGGAGAGUGGAAUUCCAUGGGUUAAG